CCUACGGGGGACAGCAGUGGGGGAUAUUGCACAAUGGGGGGAACCCUGAUGCAGCGACGCCGCGUGGGUGAAGAAGCGCCUCGGCGCGUAAAGCCCUGUCAGCAGGGAAGAAAAUGACGGUACCUGACGAAGAAGGCCCGGCUAACUACGUGCCAGCAGCCGCGGUAAUACGGAGGGGGCAAGCGUUCUCCGGAUUUACUGGGUGUAAAGGGGUCGCAGACGGCGAUGCAAGCCAGGAGUGAAAGCCCGGGGCCCAACCGCGGGACUGCUCUUGGAACUGCGUGGCUGGAGUGCAGGAGGGGCAGGCGGAAUUCCUGGUGUAGCGGUGAAAUGCGUAGAUAUCAGGAAGAACACCGGUGGCGAAGGCGGCCUGCUGGACUGCAACUGACGUUGAGGCCCGAAAGCGUGGGGAGCAAACAGGAUUAGAUACCCUGGUAGUC
rnacentral:rRNA from 1 species